CCUACGGGUGGCAGCAGUGAGGAAUAUUGCUCAAUGGACGAGAGUCUGAACCAGCCAAGUAGCGUGAAGGAUGACUGCCCUAUGGGUUGUAAACUUCUUUUAUAUGGGAAUAAAAUGUUCCACGUGUGGGAUUUUGUAUGUACCAUAUGAAUAAGGAUCGGCUAACUCCGUGCCAGCAGCCGCGGUAAUACGGAGGAGCCGAGCGUUAUCCGGAUUUAUUGGGUUUAAAGGGAGCGUAGGUGGAUUGUUAAGUCAGUUGUGAAAGUUUGCGGCUCAACCGUAAAAUUGCAGUUGAAACUGGCAGUCUUGAGUACAGUAGAGGUGGGCGGAAUUCGUGGUGUAGCGGUGAAAUGCUUAGAUAUCACGAAGAACUCCGAUUGCGAAGGCAGUUCACUGGACUGCAACUGACACUGAGGCUCGAAAGUGUGGGUAUCAAACAGGAUUAGAUACCCGUGUAGUC
rnacentral:rRNA from 1 species